UACGUAGGGCGCAAGCGUUGUCCGGAAUUAUUGGGCGUAAAGAGCUCGUAGGCGGUUUGUCGCGUCUGCUGUGAAAACCUAAGGCUCAACCUUGGGCUUGCAGUGGGUACGGGCAGACUAGAGUGCGGUAGGGGUGACUGGAAUUCCUGGUGUAGCGGUGGAAUGCGCAGAUAUCAGGAGGGAACACCCGAUGGGCGAAAGGGCA
rnacentral:rRNA from 1 species